rnacentral:rRNA from 1 species
UCCGUAGGCGGUUCUUUAAGUCAGUGGUGAAAUCCCAGAGCUCAACUCUGGAACUGCCAUUGAAACUGAAGAACUUGAAUAUGGUUGAGGUAGGCGGAAUACGUUAUGUAGCGGUGAAAUGCAUAGAUAUAACGUAGAACACCAAUUGCGAAGGCAGCUUACUAAACCAUUAUUGACGCUGAUGGACGAAAGCGUGGGGAGCGAACAGGAUUAGAUACCCGAGUAGUCC